rnacentral:misc_RNA from 1 species
GGGUGGACUCCGGUGGAUUCGGUUAGUACUUUGGUGGUACUCGGCCGUCGGCGACGGCGACGACGACAGAGGCGACGGCGGGUCGGCUCCUCGUGUUCGAAUCGAUAAUUCGAGCGCGAUCGCGACGAGUAAAGAGACCCUUUAAAGGGGGGGGAAUCGCGGAUAGGGACGAUAAGAGCUCGCGGCUGGCCAUCGGCAUUCCCGUUGCUUAUUUUGUCAACGUCACGCUACCUAUAUCCGGCGCGACCGACGUACGUCUUCCGGUUGCAGCGGGCCUCGACAGCGGACGACGACCAUGACGAACGGCGAGCAAGGGUUACAGACAAUGAGGAACAGACCGCGUAAUCUGCAAGCGCGUCGCAGGAGGUGGCCUCUGCGACUGGGUCUGUUCCUGAUCUAUGUCCUCGUCCAGUACGUCACCUCCGCGAGGAUUGUACCAUCCGAGAUGACGCUCACCUCGAGUUCCGAGCAAUACGAGGGUUCGAUGUCGGAAUCGACAGAAUCUUUGCUCGCCUCCAUCAACGAGAAGGCGACGGAGGAAUCAUCGACGAUCCCGCCGAUGCCCAAGGAGGAGGUCACUGUGAUGCCGAUUUCCAAGUCGAAAGAAAUUGCCCAGGAAUCUAACGAAAACAAAUCUAACGAAAAGGAAUCUAAAGAAAAGGCGUCGAAAGAACAUGCGAAAGCAUCUGAGAAGAACGUGCGAGAUCAGUCGAAGGCAGAUAAAGAGGCUGGGAAGAAGGGGACUGCGACUCCUGCAGCGAAACCUGCCCGAAGCAGUAGCACCACUGUCACGCCAGUUAUCCAGACGAUUCCUGUGACGAAGCCUUAUCCAUACCCUACCGUGAGACCACGAAGAACUAAUUGUUCGGCACCCGCUAUAGAACAGUUUCCACGACCGUUGAUGGGACCGGAAGCCAGAAAACACGGCGGGCUUAUAAUUCACAUUGUGGUCGCAAUCUAUACGUUCCUAGGCCUCGCCAUAGUGUGUGACGAUUACUUCGUCUCGAGCUUGGAUAGAAUCUGCGAAGAAUUAAGACUGUCUCCCGAUGUCGCCGGAGCCACUUUCAUGGCAGCUGGCUCUUCCGCACCCGAAUUAGCGACGGUGAUCAUCGGUGUGUUUUUCGCCAAGGAUGAUAUUGGAGUGAGCGGCGUUAUCGGCAGCGCCGUUUUCAAUAUAAUGUUUGUUAUAUCGAUCUGCGGCCUAUUCUCCGCCACGGCCGCCAAAUUAAAUUGGUGGCCUCUUUGCCGAGACUGUUUUUUCUACGCCAUCUCGAUUCUCGUGAUGCUCGGCACUAUUUACAAUGAGUCCAUAUCUUGGCCAGAAUCUCUGUUCAUGUUGAUCAUGUACGCAGUCUAUUGCGUGGCGCUUUCAUUCAACGUUAAGUUGGAACGUUGGGCGAAGUCGUAUAACAUUCCAUUCCUGCCGAAGGACGAUGAACCCGCUGAGGAAAGUGCUCUGGUAAGUUACAGAUCCUUACAAGAGGAGCGGUUAUCCUACACCGGACCCAACUCGCCAAUCACCGAGCAAAUAAAGAAUCAGGAAGGAAAUGGUAUUCAAGAGACGAUCGAGCAACAGCAACAGCAACAGCAGCAACAAUCGGCACCGAAGCAGCCCGAGUACUAUAAAGCGAAGGAACCGGAUCCCAAUGAAGUGUCGCCUCUCGUGAUGCCGCCGGAUGGUAGUAAAUGGACCUUAUUCACCUGGGGUCUCGUGUACCCCAUCCAUUUCAUGUGUCGAGCAACGAUGCCGGAUUGCCGGCAAGAGAAAUGGCGGCGCUGGUAUCCCUUCACCUUCUGUAUAUCGAUGAUCUGGAUCAGUUUCUACAGCUACAUAAUGGUGUGGAUGAUCACAAUCAUAGGAAGCACUUUGGGCAUUCCCGACACUAUGAUGGGCUUGACUUUUGUUGCCGCUGGUGUGAGCGUGCCAGAUGCUCUUUCCUCGCUGGCGGUCAUAAAGGAAGGUCUCGGCGACAUGGCGGUCAGUAACGCCGUAGGUAGCAAUGUCUUCGACAUUUUGGUGUGCCUCGGUCUUCCUUGGUUCAUACAGACCGCCAUGAUACAGCCCGGUUCUCACGUAAACGUCACUAGCAGAGGCUUGACGUAUUCCACCGUUUCUUUGCUGUCGACGGUGGUAUUCCUGGUGCUGGCGACACACUUGAACGGCUGGAAGCUGGACCGGCGAUACGGCAUGGUUCUGAUGAUCUGGUAUUUGAUAUUUAUCGUGUUCGCGUCGCUCUACGAGCUCAAUGUCUUCGGCGAGAUGAAUCCUCCAGUAUGCCCCAGCGUAUUCUAAUGCAAGAUUCGCCUCGUUCGUUUCCGACCUUUGCUUUGCUCAAACGCGGAACGAUCGUCCGAAACUAAGGAUCAUCGUCUCGGUCGAUCGGAUCGCGAACGAUGACGCGCGCACGUAAAUCGCGACAAACGCUCAGCGAUUUCGUUCCCUUCACCCUUCCCCUUUCUACUCGAUGAGCGAAGGCGAACGGCAAGACGAGGGAUGAGUUUAGAAGCUAGUGUGCAUGUCGGAACAGAGAAUGCAGACAAUACGUGCUCGCGCUGAGUACACAGGCAUUGUAUCCUCAUUGGUGCUAUCGAAAGUGACGAACGAGUAUUUUGCUUGCUUCCGUUCGAUCGGAUGCGGAUUUCUCACGGUUGAAUGAAAGUAAGCGGACAAGUUACGAUUUUUUCCAAGCAACGAAUAAUUGAAUCUCCCUCUCGGGAUAAAUGAGAGCACUCUCGGACAGACAAUACAACUGUACCAGUCAUUAUACCGGAUGUUAUAGUCACUAUAUGGAGUGUAUUGAGUUAUCGCGGACGGUUGUUUCCUAUAAUCAAAAAGUCGAUCGCGUUUUUCAAAUUGAUCGUUGUAAAGUUUCAACUCUCUUAAAUCUUAACUUUUAGUCACAGACCUUAUUAUGUACGUCGCGCGCGAAACUUGCUCGAAUCGAGAUACAAGAUGUGAUACGUUUUAUACAGCCAUAUUGCGCAAAUGCCUGAGUACCGUGGAAGGAAUGCGUUUUGACAAUUACUCGUUUUAUAUAUAUCCUAACAUUAUAUAGAUUAAAAAGAUACCAGUAGAUAUAUACGGCUUGUUAGAAUAGAUCUUAGAAGCGUCAUGUCUGCGGCUAAAUGUUAAGACUGUUAACGGUGCUCUAUAUCGCAUUGAAAAUUGAAAUUCAUGUUUUUACGGAAACGUACAUGCAAGAGUUUUUUUUUGUUGUUUUUAAUUGCUAUAUCGCAUUUGCAAACACAUAAGCGUGAUCCUUACAUUUUUUAUUUGCGUCAAUUAUUUUUCAAGAUUUUUAUUAUGCAUUUAUACCCAGUAAACACUGUUUGUUAGAAUAAUAUAACAUGAAAAUAACAAAUAAUAUAAAGCAAGUUAUCUACAUGAUAUGAAACCGUAACAUGUCAUAUUACUUUGCAACAUUACAAUAGUAAUGU